GAGAAUACUCUUAAUACCGCGUAAUAUCUUUCGGGGGCAUUCCUGAGGGAUUAAAGGAAGCGAUUCCGGCUACGGAUGGGCAUGCGGCGCAUUAGCUAGUCGGCGGGGUAACGGCCCACCGAGGCGACGAUGCGUAGGGGUUCUGAGAGGAAGGUCCCCCACACUGGUACUGAGACACGGACCAGACUCCUACGGAAGGCAGCAG
rnacentral:rRNA from 1 species